GACGAACGCUGGCGGCGUGCUUAACACAUGCAAGUCGAACGAAGUGGCGAACGGGUGAGUAACGCGUAAUCAACCUGCCCUUCAGAGGGGGACAACAGUUGGAAACGACUGCUAAUACCGCAUACUGAAGGAGGGGAUUGCGUCUGAUUAGCUAGUUGGAGGGGUAACGGCCCACCAAGGCGAUGAUCAGUAGCCGGUCUGAGAGGAUGAACGGCCCAAUUGGGACUGGGACACGGCCCAGACUCCUAAGGGAGGCAGCAGUGGGGAAUCAUCCGCAAUGGAGGAAAGUCUGACGGAGCAACGCCGCGUGAGUGAUGACGGCCUUCGGGUUGGAAAGCUCUUUUAAUCGGGACGCGGUACCGGAAUAGAAAGCCACGGCUAACUCCGUGCCAGCAGCCGCGGUAAUAC
rnacentral:rRNA from 1 species